UACGUAGGGUGCGAGCGUUGUCCGGAAUUAUUGGGCGUAAAGGGCUCGUAGGCGGUUUGUCGCGUCGGGAGUGAAUCCACUGGCUUAACUGGUGGCUUACUUUCGAUACGGGCAGACUGGAGGUAUGCAGGGGAGAACGGAAUUCCUGGUGUAGCGGUGAAAUGCGCAGAUAGUCAGGAGGAACACCGGUGGCGAAGGCGGUCUCUGGGCCGAUACUGACGCUGAGGAGCGAAAGCGUGGGGAGCAAACAGG
rnacentral:rRNA from 1 species